GGCUUUAAAAUAUUCAAAAUUUGAAAUAGAAAAACCAUAUUUCAUCUAAGAUUAGGAUAGAAUUGCAAAGUAGUUAGUUCCGUAUACUAGCCUUGUAUCUUAUUGAGUCUUAGGAAAGAAUUGACAUCAUAGUUGGUAGUGGUAAAAUAAUUGGUGAACAAUAUUUCUAGUGGAUGCUCUUAUUUGGUAAAAGGUAUUGUUGACAAGGUAGAAAAUUACCAUAGAACCUACCAUGGUCAAGACAUAUUUGACUUAAUUCCAAAGUUAUUAAUCCUCAUUACAUAUUAUUUUAGGAGAAAUUUAGAAUUAGCUUUGAAGGAAUUUUUUUAGAAAAGAAAAGCUAGAGAAUGAGCCAAAAAGCUUAAGAGGAAAAAUGGUCAUUAAUUAAUAAUCAUAGUUAUAUUUAAUAGGAGAUGUCCAAGCCUAGUUAUUAGUUUCAAAAUCCAAAGGAGUUGUCGUAGGGCAGAGGAAGGUGAUGACCAGGUUAGCUGCAUGUAGCUUGGUAUGUAGCGUGGUUAGAGAACAUGAGCACUUGGAAGAAUCUCCAUUGAUCUAUCUCAUUAUU
rnacentral:lncRNA from 1 species